rnacentral:rRNA from 1 species
UACGAAGGGUGCAAGCGUUAUUCGGAAUCACUGGGUGUAAAGAGCGUGUAGGUGGACUGUUAAGUCAGUUGUUAAAUUGCUCAGCUUAACUGGGCGCAGGCAAUUGAAACUGGCGGUCUAGAGUACAAAAGAGAAAAGUGGAAUUGUCGGAGUAGCGGUAAAAUGCGUAGAUCUCGACAGGAACACCGGUUGCGAAGGCGGCUUUUUGGUUUGUAACUGACACUGAAGCGCGAAAGCGUGGGGAGCAAACAGGAUUAGAUACCCUGGUAGUCCACGCCGUAAACGAUGAUCACUAGAUGUGGGUUGGGUUUAGCCCGAUCCGUGUCGUAGCUAACGCGAUAAGUGAUCCACCUGAGGAGUACGGUCGCAAGAUUA